rnacentral:rRNA from 1 species
ACCUUGUCAUUAGUUGCCAUCAUUUGUUGGGCACUCUAAUGAGACUGCCGGUGACAAACCGGAGGAAGGUGGGGAUGACGUCAAGUCCUCAUGGCCCUUAUGGGUAGGGCUUCACACGUCAUACAAUGGUCGGUACAGAGGGUUGCCAACCCGCGAGGGGGAGCUAAUCCCACAAAGCCGAUCGUAGUCCGGAUCGCAGUCUGCAACUCGACUGCGUGAAGUCGGAAUCGCUAGUAAUCGUGGAUCAGCAUGUCACGGUGAAUACGUUCCCGGGUCUU